CACCAUUUGUAAAUGCGGCCCAUGAUGAGCCCGCCCCUGCUCUCGCCGUCCCCGUGCCCUCUCAUCCGCUUCCUCCGCCUCUACCCCGCCCCUCGCCGCCGGAACCCUACCGCCGCCGCGCCGCUCCCUCCUUAUACUUUCCGCCGCCGACCCCUGCCCUUCCUCCCGGCCGCCAUGUCCUCCUCCGCCUCCACCACUUUCCCCGACUCCGUCGUCGCGGACCCCAGUGCGCUUGCCCGCAAGGUAGCAGCCAUACGCGCUGCCGGAACCGCCAAGCUCCAGGUAAUCGCCGACUUCGACGGAACGCUCACGCGGUACUGGUACGACGGCGCCCGCGGGCAGAGCAGCCAUGGGCUGCUGAGGCAAGGGAACGAGGUGUACGACGCCAAGAGGGUGGCGCUGUACGAGCACUACCACCCCAUCGAGAUCUGCCCUGACAUUCCACUACCGGAGAAGGCCAAGCUCAUGGAGGAAUGGUGGGAGAAGACUCAUGGUCUCCUUAUUGAAGGUGGUCUUACAUAUGAAGAUAUAAAAAAAUCUGUGUCUGAUGCUGCAAUUGCUUUCAGAGAUGGUGUGGUGGAGCUCUUUGAGUACUUGGAGGAGAGAGAUAUUCCAGUGCUGGUAUUUUCUGCUGGACUUGCAGAUAUAAUUGAAGAGGUCUUCAGGCAGAAAUUACAUAGAUCAUUCAAGAAUAUUAAGGUUGUCUCCAACAGGAUGGUUUUUAACGAAGAAGGUCGGCUUGUAUCAUUUAAAGGUAAAACAAUUCACGUCCUAAACAAAAAUGAGCAUGCCUUGGACAUGGCAGCUCCAGUCCAUGACAAUCUUGGGGAUCCAAAUGGAUCUAUUGAUGACUAUUCAUUGGUGAAGAAAAGGACCAAUGUGUUGCUACUUGGUGAUCACAUUGGCGACUUGGGGAUGUCUGACGGUUUAAUCUAUGAAAACAGGAUUGCUGUUGGAUUCCUCUGAAAAUCAUUCUAAAACCAUUUGAUGUCAUUAUACUGCUCCAAGGUCAGGAGGACUAUAAUUUUUUUUGUUUGAAUGCUUGAUUGUAGUUUUAUUAAUGCAAACGGAAUGCCAACAUCGAGAAAUCCCUGAAGGAUUACUCCAAGGCAUUUGACAUUGUGUAUCUGAAUGAUGCUCCAAUGCGGGGUGUUGUUGAGCUUGUGUCCGAAUUAUGUCCUUGAUCCAAACUUUUACUGCACUGUCAGAAAAAGGAUUUUGCCCCCCUGAAUUUAGCAGCACCUGCAACCUGCUCACCCAAAAACUGGGAAUUUCACUCAUGCUAACCAUCCAUGCGUGCUUCAUAAGAAGCUGUUGUACAGGCUCAUCGCAUGGCCAGAUAGCCCGUGGAACAAUGAUCAAUCUUCAGUUGUAAGCUAAUCCCAAUUCAUGUAAUAUUUGGAUCGUGCGCAUUAUGAAAUUUCAGCAUUAUUGUUACAAUCCUUUUUUCUGUCAUUUUUCAAUCUCGAUUCUUGUUAAAGAAAA